rnacentral:siRNA from 1 species
UAAAGGUUAUUUGUCAAUGUCCA